CAGCCGCCGCGGGAAAACGUAGGGUGCAAGCGUUAAUCGGAAUUACUGGGCGUAAAGCGUGCGUAGGCGGCUUUUUAAGUCGGAUGUGAAAUCCCUGAGCUUAACUUAGGAAUUGCAUUCGAUACUGGGAAGCUAGAGUAUGGGAGAGGAUGGUAGAAUUCCAGGUGUAGCGGUGAAAUGCGUAGAGAUCUGGAGGAAUACCGAUGGCGAAGGCAGCCAUCUGGCCUAAUACUGACGCUGAGGUACGAAAGCAUGGGGAGCAAACAGGAUUAGAUACCCGUGUAGUCCCUGUCUCUUAUAC
rnacentral:rRNA from 1 species